ACCUGAACUUUAAAACUCAACAUUACACCAGUAAUUAUCUUACCGCAUUUAAGAACUUAUUUACAACCACAGGAUUUGAUUAACUAAGCUCAAGGUUAACUAGUAACUUUAAAAGGAAGAAGAACUAAAAAUAAUCUGUAUGUGACCAUUACUUAAAGCACCAUCCAGCUUCUUUUGCUACUUUUGGUCAUGAUUGAAUUAUGCCGGUCGUAAUGCCCUUGAGAGUCUCCAAUGAUAGGAGAAAUGUUAUCAUAACAAACUAGAAGUAGUUCUUAUUUUAAGAAUUAAAACAUAAUUUGAAGUGUUUUUCAGUCUGUGCUAAUGAAAAAUGUCUAGAUGAAGAAUUUAUUUCUUACAGUUGAGAUAUUCAUGGUUCCAUAUAUUUAUGGUACUUGCAGAUUGAUAUUUGGAACAUUAUAUCCAGCAUAUGCCUCAUACAAGGCAGUCCGGACCAGGAAUGUAAGAGAAUAUGUAAAAUGGAUGAUGUAUUGGAUUGUUUUCGCUCUCUUCACCAGUUUCGAGACUUUCUCUGAUUGCAUAUUAUCAUGGCUUCCAUUUUAUUACGAAAUAAAAAUAGUAUUCGUACUAUGGUUGUUAUCUCCUGUUACCAAGGGAUCCAGUUUCUUGUACAGAAAAUUUGUUCAUCCACAACUUAUAAAGAGAGAGAAAGAAAUAGAUGACUAUUUAGCACAUGCAAGAGAUGCUAGCUACUCUACAGUGCUACAGCUCGGCCACCGAGGAAUUAGGUACGCAACUAAUGUCAUUGUCAAGACAGCCAUACAAGGCCAAGCCCGGAUUGCCAAUCAUAUAUAUAAAAGCUACAGUAUGAGUGAUUUGUCCGAUGGGUAUGGCGAACCUCGAUCAAGAAACAGAAUUGGAUCGAUUCCUGAAAAUGAUGAAGAUGAAGAUGAAUUAGUCACACCAAAAUCUGCUAGUAACAAUAGAUUACGUGAAGACAACCAAGAGUUAGAAAAACGCAUGAAAAAAGAAAAAGAUUCUAAGUAUCUCACUGAAGAAGAAUUAGAAAGUAGACAUAUUGCACCUCGAGGAAAAGCAGAUUUAUACAGUGUCCCUGAAGAAAGUAAUCCAUCACCGCUGUCUUCCAUGACAAAACCCUACAGCUCGUACAGCAGCCGCUAUAGUAGUGGUAGCACCAUUGGUUAUGAUUUAAGAUCUUUGUCAAAGAAGGAGGUUCGGAGCUCUUCUUAUCUGGGUUACCCUGGCUACAGUGGGACAGGUUCCCUGCCCCGUCACCGCUAUUCCUGGUCUUCCUCCGACUAUAGCCGUGCUUGGAAACAUUAGGCACAGUUAGCUAAGUCCUGUUGCCUGAUACCCCAGGAUUUUAACUUCAUCAACAUGCGGCCAAUACGUACGGGACACUACCUCGCACUGGACAUGGAAACAAGAGCGGAAGAAAAUCUGUGCGCUGAUUGAUAGACCUCUGGCUGUACUGAAACUGUAUCACCUCGUUGCUUUUGACAGCCUUCUCUUUCUGUGCCCAUUCACUCAGCUAUCCAUCCAUCUUUGUCCAACUACUUUAAUUAACAUGUCCAAACACCACAUCUGAUGCUGAUGACAAACAACUACUUCUAUUACACUAUUACUGCUGCUACCGCUUUUAUUUAUUCUUCUAAAUUACAGAACAUAAUCGAUUACUACAUUUGUUGUUAUUUAUUAUUAUGAUUAUUAUCAUUUUUAUAACUGAUUUGCCUGACAAGCUGUAAAACUUAUCCCCAGUUAUAAUCAUUUUUAAGUUGUAAAGAUUCAGUUCAACUACGCUCCAUCUUUUAACACUUAUUUUACAGUGUAGAUAAAUAUUGAAAGACUAAAUACCUUUAGCCGCAUUUUUCCACCAUUAACGACAACACUUGUAGUAACAUUCUUUAUUUAACAUAGAACUUGCUUCUUUGAUUUCUCUUACCUGAAUUGAGUGUAUAUAUGUCAGUAUUUAUGAAUGCACAGUAUGUGUGUGUAACAGUGAAAGCUAGCAAAUAUGUCAAUCACACAUGAGUAUGUGUGUGCGUAUGUUUCUGUCUAAAUGUUUGUGGGCAAAUAUGUGUAUGUAUGUAUGUGUACAUGCUUAUUCCUAAUUUUAUCUUUUUUUUCUUUUUGCACAACCUUUCGUUUUAACAUUUAACAUAAUUAUUAUAAAUUUUCAUUUACAACUUUUUAAGGAAUUUUAGUGACAUAAAAAUCUUUUUUAUUUAUUUAUUUAUCUAUUUAUUUUUUGAAUUCCACCUGUAAAUAUAUUGCUGUAUGUAUUUAUAUACACACAUACACACAACUGAGUACACAAUCAGUUGCUUCUUUCUUUUUUUCUUCUUUUUUUUUUUUUGUACAUAGUCAUGUAUUGAAAUAACUGUUUGAAUAAAAAUUAUAGAAUUUUUACACAUGUAGAUUGUGUAACCGAUAUCCUCAAAUUCUUUGACAAAUAAAGUGCAUGAAUCAUGAUUGGAAUGGAAAGAUGGAAGUCUCAGUAAGACCUCAGUGUUUGUAUAUUGUAUUUGAUAAAUCACCUGUGAUACAUUCCAAACUUUGCCAUAAUCAAGAGAUAAACUGCUGUGGGGAAACUGGUAACUCAAGAAAAUGAGAGAGAAACAUAGAGAAAUCAAAUGGCAAAUAUCUAUUAAAUCUUCUAUGGCCAAGAGUAGUAGAAUUAUUUUUCCUUACUUUUUCCCUUUUUUUUUUUUUACAACUUCAGUGAAACUUUUUUUUCCCUAUAAACUUUUGGUUAUGUCAAACAUUCCACUUCUCCUAUAAUUCCUCUUUCACCCACCUAGAUUUUUCGCUUAUUGCUAUUCUUAAAUUUUUUUUUUUAAUAAAAAAAAUUUCAGCUUAUAAUAAUACACUAACUUAACACACGGCAUAUAUGUCCUCACCUAACCCCUAUAUUUAUAUUUACUUUACAGUGCUCAUCUUUCAUUCAUCCCUUUUAAUAUCUGUUAAUUCAUUUGUGGGUUUUUUUUUUUGGUUUUUUUAAAUAAUAAAUUCAAGUAGCCGGAUGAUUUCUGUUAUUGUCACCGUCCAUCAUCCUCAAACUGAUUGUUCAUGUGAUGCUAUUAUUGUUUCGAAAACAAAUGUAUUUUUUUAUAAUCUAACAUCAGUUGCAGCGGUUGCACAAGUUGAUUGGUUUUGUUUUAAUUGUUACUAUUAUUAUUACCAUUAUCCCUGUUAAUACUUUUGGUGUCUUACCUGUCAGAUUGUUUUAUUUUUAUCAAUGAGUUGUGAUUAAUUACUUUAAAAGUGCAUUUAAGUAUAUUACAUUUGUAUGUGUGUAUACAUAUAUAUAUGCAUACAUUUAUAUAUAUGUAUAUAUGUACACACGCACACACAAUGUACACAUGACACAGUUCACCUAGUUUUCAUUGCUAUUUUUUAUAUGUAGUUUACGAAAAAAAAUUUGUUUUUGUUCUUUUAGACUGUAAAAGAAUAACUGAAAAUACCAACUGCUGCUUUCUUCUCCCUUCCACCUGCUUUAUCUAAACGUUAUGUUUUACUAUUUUUUCUUUAACGAAUAAAAGUCAUAAGGAUAUCAUGUACAUUUGAGCUCGUUGUUAAUGGCAUAAUUUGAGAAGGCUUCAUAUAUAUUUAUAACAGUGUGUUUUUAUCUUUAAACUAUUUUUCUUUUGUACUUAGAAAAACAAAAUUUGCUUUCAUUUUCUGUUUUAUUUUUACCAUGUCUUUCGUAAUAAAAUUUUAUUUUAACAUAAUUUCUUCAUUUAUACAUACUCUAUUCUGCAAUCUCAUUUCUGAUAAUCUGUUUUUAAAAAAAUAAUAAUUGAGGAACCAUUGUAAAUAAAAGAAUUAAAUCAUUGUGUGCCAUUAAUAGUGGACUCUGUAACUGUAGUAGCAUCAUAACCAUUAAUAAGUUUAUAUAUUAUUGCCACCCAUAGUUUCUAGGUUAAACUUGAAACUAAUAUCUCAGAUAAGUUUCAGUUAGAAAACCCAACUAAUUCUUUCCUUGUUUUCCAUACACUCAAGAAUUGUUUUCUUUUUCUUCAUUUAAUUGGGGGUAUUUUUUAAAAUUCUGCCUUAACUCAAAUACAGUCUAUUCUUUAAAUAUCAUGUUAGCUUGCAUCUAAAUCGCCCUCAAUCUGUAAGACAAUGUAGUUUCAAAACCAAAAGAUCUUCAUGACUAGCAGGCACUUGAAUCAUAGGCCUACUCAAUUAGGGUUGGUCUGAGGUUAAAUGGGGUGUUAAAUAUAAAUAAGGUCUUGGAUUUUUAAAAUUAAGAAUCUUUUUGAUUUUGUCAAGAUAACUGAACACAAGUUAUUCCAGAUAGGAAACAAAAUCAUCAAAAGUGAAGCCUUUAUAAGCCAACAAAUAUAUAUUAAUGACUCACACACUCCUGUAUUACAAUAUCCUCAGACUUUAUUAAUGUCCUGUCUAGGCAGCCAGUUUCUUGCAAAAUAUGUGAAGUUAGUUAGAAUAGUUUACUAACACUGACAAUAAGCAAAAAUAACUGACUGAGAGAUCAAAUUCAGUUUUAUACUUGAAACUUGAAUUCUCUUUCGUGCAAGUGGCUUUUGUGAUUUCACAACAUCGUUACACUGCACACCUACUCUUUUUAAUGGUAAUAUCUGCUUGGACCUUGCUACAUACAGUUCAUUUUAUCUUCACUUUCUCGCCCAUUGAAACACUACAUACAACCAGUUGAUUUUUUUUUUUUUUUUUUUUAAUACACCUCUUUUCUGCAUGUUCUUUUUCAUUGUUAUUGUUUUUUUUUGUGUUUGUGUGUAUUUCAAUCAGGAACUAGUUUACUUUUAUAUGAAUAUGUGCAAAGAUCUCUCCACGGAGUUACUAUGUUUUCACUUUUUAACCUCUUAAUAUACCUGUUGAUUGUUUUUAACCGGAGAGAAAAUGUAUAUAUCAAUCGUUUUUGUUUAUGUGCAUCAUAAUCCUUGUGAAAUUUUUACCUUGGUCAAGCAGGAUUUUAUUUUGUUAACACUAAACUGCCUUAUUUGCAAUAUUUAAGAAAAUCACAGCAAAAUAGAAUUAUUAACAAAUCAACUGAUAUGUGUCUUCUAGAAAAUUCUUAUUUUGUUUAUUUUUAUAUAUAUUUAUUAUAAUGUAUAAUUUGAAUGGUAUUUUGGUUUUUGGUUUUUUUUUUAUAUAGUUUAGAAAAUCUUUUAAAAAAACAUUUCUGCAGUGAAAAUUAAGUUUGAAACAUUUAAUAUUUGUUCACUAGCUAUUUAUCUCCAAAAUGCAGUGGUAAUAGUUGUUGUGAUUGUAGUUGUCACAAUAAUGCCAUGCACAAACUAGGGCUGAUCGUGUAAGAUCAGCAGAUCUCUCUCAUAUGCUGAUUGUAUUUGAUACUCAUGCAAUGUAAAAAGGAAAGAAAAAAAAUGGCUAACGAAAAAAGUGUUUGCUUUUUGGGUUUUUUUUUAAAUAAAAUUAUUUUAUUUUUCUCUAAUGUAAAAUAUGCAGAAUGACUGAUUGAUACAACUACAGAUUAUUUUGUAUUCUUCAGGGCUGUGAUAGUUUCUUUUUCAAUUGUUUGUUUUGUAAAUCUCAAUGAUGAGGAAAGAAAGUGUCUUUUUUUGCUACUGUAGAUUCUUGUUGACUGUUCUGACUCUAAUUCCAUAAUAGAAUAAAUCACUCUUUAGGAGACAUUCUAGAUCUGUUAAUUAGAUAGCGUCAAGCAAAGGCAGAUAUGGAUAGAAGAGGUUUCAAGCAAUUUCAUAAGACUUGUUGCUAUUCUUUAACACCCUAUUUAGAUCUCAAACUUUGGUUGCAUUCAUGUUUUUGAAGCUGUGCUCAUUCUAAUUUUCCCUCUAGCUUUGCCCCUAUCUAGAGAUAUUUCAUUCAUAGCUUUGAGGAUAUUUACAAAUUUUAGUAGUAAUAUUUUUGUUAUUAAAAUAUAUGAGAAGCAAUAUUAACAAAUAAGUGUAUUUAUUCUGAAAUUGCUUUCUUGAAGUGCUGUUUCUGCAGUGUGCCUGAGCCAUUGCUUUUUGUAAGGAAGGGUUAUGAAAACAUUUGUGAUUUUGUUUUUAGCCUUCAUUUUGUUGCAUGUGCAUAAUUUCAGGAAAGUAUUAAUUUGGUUUUACUCAUCGAUCUUAAUACCACUACAGAUUGCAUCCUGCUGCCAUUUACUUGCAUUAAUAUUCUGAACGUUUCAUUAAAAAUAUUUUACUUUUUGUUUUUCUGUUGUUUGUUCUGUUCUAACUUUUGGGCCUCAGCUAAUGUCAUCAUGCCAGACUUAAUAUGUUUUUCUUUGGCAGACAUAAUGUUCAGAGAGGGUUCUGAAGUUUUACCCUUUUGAUGCCAACCUGGUUCUAUGGUACAAAGCUGUCAAUUUUGAAGUAUUUAAAAUUAAAACUGCCUGUCAUAAUUUUAUUUAAGAACCUUUUAUUAAAGUGUGUUCCAAAGAGCGUUUUAUUAAUGGAGAUUUUAGUUACUUUACUUAAUCUCUCCAAAUCCUUGAUUUUUAAAAUUAAUCGAACACACAGGCAGUGGAUUCCAUUGGAAAUCUGGUCUCAAAAGGGUUAAUCUCUUCUGCUUCUUGCCAAGUCUUGCUAUAAUUUUUCCCCUUUCAAUUGACUCUGUGAAACUUAAUGUUUUCUAAGUUCUGGUCUGUAGUUUCUGCUUCUCAUUUUGUAAAUAUCAGAAUGUUUUGAUAGCAUAAAUAUAUUUAGGUUUACAUUUCCUGAAGCAGGAAAUCAAAACUAGAUCCAUUUAAGCAAUAUUUAUUGUAUUUAAAAAAUAAUGGAACAAAUACAAUUUGAAUUUUGUGAUUUACAAUAAAUUCUUUCAGUGAUUUGAAUGCUUAUAAAACAAUAAUAAUCUAAUGGAUAUAUGAAAACUUGGCUUAAAUGAAUAAUUAUUUUCCCUUGAGAAAAUUUCUCUCUCAUAUUUUUGAUGAGGUUUCCUCAUAUUUUUUUCAAAUAUUACAUUGUCAUGCAAUGUAAAAGUGAUAUUAAAGGAUUGUUUGGGAAUGCUUUCUCUUUGUUUUGUUUAAUCUAUGUAAGCAUUUUAAUUUCUUAGGAGUUAUUUCUUAGGAGAGUUGUUUAAGUUUUAUACUUGUCUAUCUUGAAAGUGGAUUAUGAUAAAAUUGGGAGGAAUUUUGUUUUACCUUUGACAGGGUUCUGACUUGCAAGUAUACUUUUUUUUAAUAAAUACACACACACAUACACACACAUAUAUAUAGAAGUGGCUGCUGAUAGAAUUUAUUCUUGUAGGGUGCAUUUAACAGGUUAUAUAAUCUGUGUAUCGUUUCUUAUAUUAUCUAAGAUAAGAUCUGAAUCUGCUUUGAGUUAUUUUUCGUAUUAAUGCCAAGGCUUUCUGUCAGCAGUCUGCUAUUUUCUGCUGUUGACCAAAUACUCAAUGCUAAAACAAAUAUUAUAAUUAGUUUGUUUAUUAAUCAGGAAUUUUUAAUGAGGUGAUUUGUUUUCAAACUCAUAACAAAGACGGUAAGACAAAUCUUAGAGGGUUUGUCUGGGCUCUGGUGCUAUUUCAAGUGUUAAUUUUCUGUACAAAGAACUAUGCCAUUGUUCUUGAAGGCUUAGCAGUUGCUUACUUUCUUAUAAUGAAAGUUUAUCAUAGCAGUUAAUUAGCUUGCAAACCUACUAUCUUAUAACAACAAACAGUUCACAUGACACUCAAACAGCACAUUUCUUUGUUCUGAUCAAAACUGUUUUGUUUUAAGCGUUGCUAGCAUUGAUUUAAAUUUUUCAGAAAUACUCAUUUGUAGUAAGUAUAGUUAGUUCAGUUUAUCAUGGGAUUUACUGAACAAAUUAUUUUUUCUUUUAUAUAGUGUUGAAUUUCAUUAAUUUCAACUGUAUUUCAUUGGAUGAAGUUGUUUUUUUUUUCUUCUACUGUGAGGAGGAGUGAGAAGCCUAUUAUUUGAAUAAUAUAUAAACAUAUUUGAUUCAUGAUAGAAUCGUGAUAUUCUCACUUUUUAACAGUUCAAAUUAUUUUUUAAUUUUUUUACUAUUUUCAAGAACAAGGAAAACAUUGUUGGGUGUAAUUCAAAUGUAGAAGAAAUAUUAACAAUGUUUAAUGGCUAUUAAUGAAAACUAGUCAACAAGUAAUUGAUAAUAUUUCAGUGAACUGUUGGAUUUUUGUUGUUAUUUUUUUCUCCUCUCCCCAUCUUGCUCUCUCUCUCUUUUACGGUGCUCAGGACAAAUCACCUUACUGUACCCUCUAGCCUGCAUCUGCUAGAUUCUUUAUUCUCUGGACAAUGACACAGCCAACUAUUGGCAGAGCCUGAUUGGAAGCUCCACCCUUAUUAAAAUUGAGGGUCAUGUUAAUAGAAACAGCUUUCUCCAUGUUUGCAUUCUUGUUAUGGAAAAAAAAAAAAGAAAAGAAAAAAUUCAAAUCUGUACAAAUGAAAGUAAUGGUGUUGGCAAUGUUUUUAUAAAAUUUGCAAAUCUUAUUUUGUAAUAAAACUCUUGGCAUUUUAAUUCAA